ensembl:lncRNA
GUAAAUAUUUUACAAUUAAAAAAAAAAAGUUGUAAUACAAGUAAAAUUGGAAACCCAGUAGAGAGAGAAGCAAAGUGAGUCUAUGAUGUAGUUCAGUUUGUGUUCACAGCAUUAAACUAAAGUUAAAACUGUACAGGGAACAGUAACUGACAUAACUAUAUUUUGUAAUUAUUAGAUACGUCAGCAUAUUGACUACAUGAGCCUCAAGUGUACUCAGCUUGCCCUGGCUAUUUGGAGUUCACUGCUACUUAACUUGCAGAUUCAAUAAGAAAAAGAUGUUUCUUUCUGAAGCAGGUGAUAAAGCUCCAGUAAAUUUAGAUCAUUCUGUAGAUAAGGUGAGAGUAAACUCCAGAGGAAAAAAAAAAAAAUGAGCAAAGUAUAAAGCUAAACUUGGCUCCGAGUUCUGCACUGAGCUGUGCUGCACUGGGAGCUCAGCACAAUCACAGAAUUGUAUUUUGCUCCAGGUAAAUAAUAGCCAGUAUCUAAAAAAAUUUAAAAGCCAUUAUUCAGAGGCAAGUAAUGAUUGUCUUCAUAAAACACUGCUCAUUUGGUGUAGCUAUAUUCUGUGCUGGAUCUAUCUUCUGAAAUCUUUACCCAGACCCCUCACACCUUUACCUGUCAAUGAAGUAAUUUAGCAAGUAUCAACUUAAAGCUUGGCAGAUCCCUCAGAUCCCAGCUCAGAUCUGCCCAGACCUUGACUCUUGCUCGGUACCUAUCUCUGCCUCUGCUGGAAGAAGCCCCAAAGUCUUCCUUACUGUGUCAUCCAGGUAAAUAAGGGCUCACUCCACAUACACAGCUGUGGUGUCCACUGCUAGCAAGAUGAGCAUGUAGCACAAUGAACCUGGAAUCACAGAAAUGCCUGUCAGAUAAUGCAUGUUUUGGGUAAUGCAUGGGGACACAGGGAGAGAAGAAAAAGCACACAUACUCUAUACCUUGGAAAUUCUGCUAUAAAAUCCUAAUCCUUAUCCUUUAUAAGGAUAAAAUCCUAUCCUUAUCUUCCCCAUACAGCGGGAAGUUCUGCUCAGUUUGGUAGUAGAAGAAAUAACCAAUGACUAGUGCAAAUAGUCAUGAGAGCAUAAAAAUGCAUUUUAAUAGUAGUCUAAAUAUGAACAGACAUAUUUGGAUGUUACUUCACACACUCCCACAGAAGUCACUCUGUCUUAAUCAUAAUACUAAGAAUGCAUCCAUGCUGCAGUAAGACCAAGGAUGUUCAAAUACAAAGCAAGAAGAGGAGGGUCCCACUGCCCCAAAUCCAUUUUGCUAUAAAGGGACUUCCACGAACACAUAUCUCCUACAAUUUGGAGACAUCAGGAACAUCUGAGAAGUAUAACGCAGUAAGUUAAGCCAACAAGCCUCCUUUUCCUUAAAUUCCUUAUUUUUAAUAUAAAAUUGCUAUUUUUCCCCCUUAUUCUGCAACCUGAUUUUGCUACAAUCCAGGCCAAAUUCCAGUUUGAAGAAUUCCUGUUUGUCUGAUUUCUUCCUCCAAAAUCUGGAACAGCUGCAGAGUUUUACCUGACAGCUGCCUACAUCUGAGAAGUGGAUCUCAACUCUACCAGCAGCCUAUAACACCACAGCAAGUGACCUCCAAGGGGUCUACUGAGCCUCAUUGAGCAAUGAAAACAUGAUGACCUUGAUCAAAUAUCUCAGCUGUGGUGAACAUCAAAUAACAGAAAUUGCAAAGGUUGACAAUUAUUUGAGGGACAAAAAGUCUGGAGAUUUUGUAUCAGUAGAAUUCUAACGGCUUCAACAGAAUGCUCUUGAUUUAAGUUGGAAUAAUUGAAAAAUUAAUCACAUCUACAUAUCACCAGAAGAAAGGAGAAAUAAACCAUCUUGGAAUUUGUAGUUCACUAUAAUCUGAAGUAGAGAAGUCCUUGGAGAAAUCCAGUCUAAAACAAUGCCAAACCUCAGCACCGUAUUAGGAAACAAAUAUCUUUACGCUACAGACCAGUUGUUAUUCCAGAGUUGCUUCCUGGCUGAAGCACAACAUGCUUUGUUACUCCAUGCUCACCUGUGUGUAUACAACAGGUUUGGCUACAGAUGAAUGCAUAUAAAGAGUUGGAAGAGAUCACGUUCAGUGCUUUGUCCUUCGUUCUGGUGAGGUGCACUUCUGUUUCCCUACUGAGAGCUCCUAGGCACAUGGAAGCUGUAAGGCCAACCACCUAACCAUAGGAGGGAUGGGAUCGCUGGCAAACAACACAUCCUGCUUCACCUCAAGCACCCUCCACUCUCCAGAAGGUACUUUCCUGCACAUGGCUGAGGAGCUGCUGGAAGACUGAAGGGGCACUCUCUUCAGCUGUGGGGCUGCCCCACCCCCAGUGCUGCUCUUCUGGCACCCAGCUCCUCCCAUGCUCCUUGUGCAGCUGGUGGCCCAGGAAGGAGCCAGCAUUGCCUCAAAUGGAACAGAGAGCAUCAGGCUGUUUUCUCUUUAAAAGAAGAACAAAAAAAAAAAAACAAAAAAAAAACCAAAAACUAGGCUUUCCCCUUUGUUUCUGCCUUCCUGACUCCCUGGUUCAUGUCCUUCAUUAAGGCGUCUUUCUCAGUCAAGUUCUGCAAGGGCCUUCUAGCAAAAAAGAGGCUCACGGAAUUGUAGAAGUUACUGAGAUAGACAGCUUAGCAGCUGUGGUUCAUUUUCAGCAGUCCUACAGAGCACAGUGACUGUUAAGCACUCUGAC